rnacentral:tRNA from 3 species
GCGGGUGUGGCGAAAUUGGUAGACGCACUAGACUUAGGAUCUAGCGGGCAACCAUGGGGGUUCGAGUCCCUCCACCCGCA